UUCUUUAUGGGCUUUGUGUAUGAGCAGGUGGACUGUGAGGGAUCUGGUCAACACCCUUCCCAAUUCAGACACUGGUAUGGUCACAAUAAUCUCUAGCGGCUGGAUGGCACAGGAUCCAGAAGAGGAUGCCAAGGCCCCAGAAGAUGUUUCCACCCAUCUGAAAGAAAGGCUGGGAAAUGGGCUGAAAAGAAAAAGAAUACACAGUUUGAUAAGGAGGAAGGAAAUCAAUCAGAUUUUGACAAAAUUGAUGUGCCUUUACCUAAGUCAUUGGCAGCAGUCAUUCUGCUGGAAAUAAAUUUAUUUGAGCCUCAA